rnacentral:rRNA from 1 species
UACGUAGGGUGCAAGCGUUGUCCGAAAUUAUUGGGCGUAAAGAGCUCGUAGGCGGUCUGUCGCGUCGGCUGUGAAAACUCGGGGCUCAACCCCGAGCCUGCAGUCGAUACGGGCAGACUAGAGUUCGGUAGGGGAGACUGGAAUUCCUGGUGUAGCGGUGAAAUGCGCAGAUAUCAGGAGGAACACCGGUGGCGAAGGCGGGUCUCUGGGCCGAAACUGACGCUGAGGAGCGAAAGCGUGGGGAGCGAACAGG